rnacentral:lncRNA from 1 species
AAAAAGACUAUGCCUUUUCUGGAUGAUGUUCCUAUAAAAGGGUGCAGAGAAAGAGACAAGGAUGAAACUUUAGAUACGAGGGGGUGUCGCAGAUAUGUUGUUGAUCAUAUACAAGAUUGUGAAAAGAUUUUAACUCGGCUUGGAGAAGUUCAUCUUACAUUAUCGGAUAUGAAGUCCGUAUUUGGAGUGCGAGAGGUUGU